AGAGACAGCAGUAGCCGCGGUAAUACAGAGGGUGCGAGCGUUAAUCGGAUUUACUGGGCGUAAAGCGUGCGUAGGCGGCUUUUUAAGUCGGAUGUGAAAUCCCUGAGCUUAACUUAGGAAUUGCAUUCGAUACUGGGAAGCUAGAGUAUGGGAGAGGAUGGUAGAAUUCCAGGUGUAGCGGUGAAAUGCGUAGAGAUCUGGAGGAAUACCGAUGGCGAAGGCAGCCAUCUGGCCUAAUACUGACGCUGAGGUACGAAAGCAUGGGGAGCAAACAGGAUUAGAUACCCGCGUAGUCCCUGUCUCUUAUAA
rnacentral:rRNA from 1 species